rnacentral:sRNA from 1 species
CAAGCGUUGUGAAGUAGCGUACUAUCAUCUGGCUUUAGAAAAUUAAUGCCUUAUCUGUUACUGCUCUUGCUUUUCUCUUUCUUCUUUUGUUAUUCAAAGUCGAUUUAGUAUUUACAUUUGCUCUAUUGGUUAAUGUUUUACUAUUUUUUAGCGCCUUACAGGCGGAUAUCCGCUAAUUAUUUAUUUAACAAGAGAAUUAUAAAAUGUCUAAAUCCGUAAAUGGUACAGUUAAGUGGUUUAAUGAUGACAAAGGUUUUGGUUUUUUAACGCCGACUGAAGGUGGAAAAGAUGUAUUUGUACACUUCCGCUCUAUUGCGUCAGAAGGCUUUAAAUCGUUAGUGGAAGGGCAACAAGUCCAGUUCACCAUUGAACAAGGCCAGAAAGGCCCACAAGCAUCAAACGUUGUUGCUUUAUAAUCCUUACCAGAUUUUAAGGGCUAGAAUAUUCUAGCCUUUUUAU